rnacentral:rRNA from 1 species
CCUCCUUAGAGUUUGAUCCUGGCUCAGAUUGAACGCUGGCGGCAGGCCUAACACAUGCAAGUCGAGCGGUAACAUUUCUAGCUUGCUAGAAGAUGACGAGCGGCGGACGGGUGAGUAAUGCUUGGGAACAUGCCUUGAGGUGGGGGACAACCAUUGGAAACGAUGGCUAAUACCGCAUAAUGUCUACGGACCAAAGGGGGCUUCGGCUCUCGCCUUUAGAUUGGCCCAAGUGGGAUUAGCUAGUUGGUGAGGUAAAGGCUCACCAAGGCGACGAUCCCUAGCUGGUUUGAGAGGAUGAUCAGCCACACUGGAACUGAGACACGGUCCAGACUCCUACGGGAGGCAGCAGUGGGGAAUAUUGCACAAUGGGCGCAAGCCUGAUGCAGCCAUGCCGCGUGUGUGAAGAAGGCCUUCGGGUUGUAAAGCACUUUCAGUCAGGAGGAAAGGUUAGUAGUUAAUACCUGCUAGCUGUGACGU